CGGGGGGGGCAAGCGUUGUUCGGAAUUACUGGGCGUAAAGGGCGCGUAGGCGGCUUGUUAAGUCGGGUGUGAAAACUCUGGGCUCAACCCAGAGCCUGCAUUCGAAACUGAUGAGCUAGAGUUCUGGAGGGGAAAGCGGAAUUCCUGGUGUAGCAGUGAAAUGCGUAGAUAUCAGGAGGAACACCGGUGGCGAAGGCGGCUUUCUGGACAGAAACUGACGCUGAUGCGCGAAAGCUAGGGGAGCAAACAGGAUUAGAUACCCUGGUAGUCCUAGCCCUAAACGAUGGAUACUUGCUGUGAGGGGGAUUGAAUCCCUUCGUGGCGAAGCUAACGCAUUAAGUAUCCCGCCUGGGGAGUACGGUCGCAAGGCUG
rnacentral:rRNA from 1 species